CUCGCCAUUAAAUUUUCUUCUGUCUUCCUCUUGUGUUUGUUUGGCUCCGAUUGAUCCGGAAGGAAGAAAGAAGGAAGGAGAAGGGUGAAAGGGUUUUGGCACGUGCGGCGCACGUGAGGCGUGUGAUAAAGGGUUUGGGGUUGACGGUUCUAUCCCUCAGAAUGUAACCGAGGUGAUCAAUGGCUACUUCCCCGAUGCUCGUCCGAACUGAAAAUUGACGCCGAACCACAUCAGAAAGACGUGGUUCAAAAUGUUCGCCCAAAAAUAUCAUUGGUCCAUAGGGGUGAACGAGAGGAUGAAAAAAGCGUUUAUCGGGAAGGCAAAAAUUCGAUUGUUGGAUAUGGUAUCCAACUGGAAAGAUGAUUGGAUUGUGAAGGGUUAUGAGCAGGGAAAACCCACUGAGCUCACCACGGCUGUGUGGUUUGGUUUUUUUCAUAUUCAAGAUUUGGUAGGAUUUAAAUUUAUCAUAUAAAGAAGGUGUAAUCACGAGCAUUUCAAAUUCAUGCUUGUCUAUGUUAAUACAUGUUCAUUAUUAUCAAUCUAUUUUUGUA